GCAGGGGUGGCAGAGCCUGGUCAAAUGCGCUGGCUUCAGGGGCUAGUCUCUUAGCGAGUUCGAGGGUUCAAAUCCCUCCCCCUGCA
rnacentral:tRNA from 1 species